AUGCAUUCAUUCAUUCAACAAAUACUGAGUGCCUGCUGUGUUUUAUGGCAGGCAUCAUCUUUGAAGAGUUUUGCUAUAAAGGAAGGUAAAACAUCAAGCACAUUGAUAGUUAAAGUGUUUCACCUUGCAGACCUCUGGGGAGAUUGCUAUGGAUUUAGAAGUUGUGCUCAUCUCAGGCAAAAUACAGGAAUUGAUGACAUAUGGCAAAAAGUUUUUUUCUUCACGGAAGCUAGCAAAAGGAGACAGAAAGGGAAUACAAGCUCAUGGAAUGCUGUGUAAAUGCCCUGGUGACAUCCUUUAAAGAGACUAUCUUAGCAGAGUGCCAAGGCAUGAUCAAGCGAAACGAAACUGAAAGUAGGUAAAACACUACAUGAAGUUAUCAUACUCUUUUAAUAGGAUAUCUUUGAAGCACAUCACUUUAAAUACAUUACAGUUAGAUCAUUCUUUUAUACAUAGGUACUUUCAUUAUGGCAAACUGUGUAAAGAAAAGGAUCAAAAUAUUUAGCAUAGUUAGAAAUNNNNNNNNNNNNNNNNNNNNNNNNNAUUUUAAGCAUUUUUUUCUCCUUGGGUAUCAGUAUGUUUGUAUGUGCUCAUGUACAUUUCAAUUUGUUCUCAAAAGUAAAACUCUGCUUUUAAAGGCUAAUUUAAAUGAUAAAUGUACAGUAUAGGAUAGAACUAGGUAAUUUGACUUCUGUGUGGAACUGUAUGACAAGUAUUUUUAGAAAGCAAUAAAACUCCCUGUGUUGGUAAUCUUGAUCCCUCUCCCCCAUAAGGUUAUAUUUGCGGAUGUAGAAAGUACAUUAAUACCAAAAGAAAUACAUACCAAAAAGAAAAAAUACCCAUAUCCUUACUGCUCAGAGACAACCACUUUUAACAUUUUGAUGUAUUGCUCUCUAGAUUUCAUGUUAUAAAAUUGCAAGGUCCUAUUUAAUCUAGUUGCAUUUGAAGUAUGUAUUUCAGUUCACUUAAAUCUAUACAUUCUUCAGAAGUAUUUUUGUAGUAAAAGCAAGUUUCUCACUUGGUACAAAUGAAAUAUUUGAAUUUCUGUAUGCCAAACUAAGUAGCGUCCACUGAUCCAAGGUGGGGGUUAACAGGAGAAAGUUUUAUAAACUGAAAAAUUCUUUAUGAAUACAGUUUUAUAUUAUCUUAUUACUCUGAAUAAUCUGAGGACAUGAUUAUUUUACCCCUUGAUGUUGCUGUGUAUCAUGUGUUUAAUAUUACAUCUAACUUAUGAAAUGUACUUAUCUUCUGUGUAAACUUUUGUGUUUCUUAGAAUAAAUAUUUUCCAUUUUAUUGAAAGUCAGAUGACUCACCUUUUAAGAGGAGUUGGGUUUUACAGUAUGUGAUCACUUUUAGAGUUUCUUUUAAAAAUAAUUUGUGUCAGACUGAGAAGGUAGGUCAGGCAGUUAUAGUAUUAUGCUUAUGCUUAUUAUAACAACUCCUAAACUAAUUGUACUCGCAGAAUAUUGUUAAAGCUGUCAGCUUC
rnacentral:lncRNA from 1 species